rnacentral:rRNA from 1 species
GGGCUCGCAGGCGGUUUCUUAAGUCUGAUGUGAAAGCCCCCGGCUCAACCGGGGAGGGUCAUUGGAAACUGGGGAACUUGAGUGCAGAAGAGGAGAGUGGAAUUCCACGUGUAGCGGUGAAAUGCGUAGAGAUGUGGAGGAACACCAGUGGCGAAGGCGACUCUCUGGUCUGUAACUGACGCUGAGGAGCGAAAGCGUGGGGAGCGAACAGGAUUAGAUACCCUGGUAGUCCACGCCGUAAACGAUGAGUGCUAAGUGUUAGGGGGUUUCCGCCCCUUAGUGCUGCAGCUAACGCAUUAAGCACUCCGCCUGGGGAGUACGGUCGCAAGACUGAAACUCAAAGGAAUUGACGGGGGCCCGCACAAGCGGUGGAGCAUGUGGUUUAAUUCGAAGCAACGCGAAGAACCUUACCAGGUCUUGACAUCCUCUGACAAUCCUAGAGAUAGGACGUCCCCUUCGGGGGCAGAGUGACAGGUGGUGCAUGGUUGUCGUCAGCUCGUGUCGUGAGAUGUUGGGUUAAGUCCCGCAACGAGCGCAACCCUUGAUCUUAGUUGCCAGCAUUCAGUUGGGCACUCUAAGGUGACUGCCGGUGACAAACCGGAGGAAGGUGGGGAUGACGUCAAAUCAUCAUGCCCCUUAUGACCUGGGCUACACACGUGCUACAAUGGACAGAAC